rnacentral:rRNA from 1 species
UGGCGCCUACGGGGCGCAGCAGUAGGGAAUCUUCCACAAUGGGCGAAAGCCUGAUGGAGCAACGCCGCGUGGGUGAAGAAGGUCUUCGGAUCGUAAAACCCUGUUGUUAGAGAAGAAAGUGCGUGAGAGUAACUGUUCACGUUUCGACGGUAUCUAACCAGAAAGCCACGGCUAACUACGUGCCAGCAGCCGCGGAAAUACGUAGGUGGCAAGCGUUAUCCGGAUUUAUUGGGCGUAAAGGGAACGCAGGCGGUCUUGUAAGUCGGAUGUGAAAGCCUUCAGCUUA